CUAAAUCCAUUUUUCUUCUUCUUUCUAUCUAUCCACAGCACUGAGACAACAACCUGUCAGCCACUCAAGGCUGAUGAGAGGAAUGGCGAGGCAGCAGACACCACGUUGGACACAACCACAGACAGAAAUGGAUGCAUUAGAGACACGGGAAGACACAAACAUGGCAGCUAUCAUCGGACGCGGAGUGUGUUGUUUGAUAGCGAUCUUUCCCCUCGGCCGCACGCUUCCAAGGGGAAGAAGAAGAGGAGGAAAUCGGAGCGAAAGAGGAAGAGGGAAAGGUCUCCGUACUACAGUCUGUCUCCGGUGAGGAAGAAGAAAAAGAAGAAGAAGAAGAGCUCUAAGAAAAGCAAACGUCACAGGUACACCUCUAAAAAGACAAAGCACAGCUCUUCUAGUUUGAAGCAUAAGAGGAAGGAUGAUCGAAAACACAAGAAAAG